rnacentral:rRNA from 2 species
AUUAGAUACCCCAGUAGUCAAAGCAGAAAAUGAUGAAUGUCAUAGAUUAGAUAUACAAUUUAUUCUAUAAAUGAAAGUGUAAGCAUUCCACCUCAAGAGUAAUUUGGCAACAUUGGAACUGAAAUCAUUAGACCGUUUCUGAAACCAGUAGUGAAGUAUGUUGUUUAAUUUGAUGAUACGCAAAAAACCUUACCACAAUUUGAAUAUUUAUAUAUAUCUUUUAUUGAUUUUUACUAACAUAUAUGUAGACAAUUAAAAUGAUGCUUAUUUCUCGUUUGUGAGACUAAGCAUCAAAAAAGAUAGUAUAUUUACAAGCGUUGCACGGCUGUCUUCAGUUAAUGUCGUGAGAUUUUGGUUAGUUCCAUUAAAUUAACGUAAACCCUUACUUUAUUUUUAUAUAAAGUAGUUCUCCGCUAUAUUGGAUAUGAUAACAGGGACUAAGACAAGU